rnacentral:lncRNA from 1 species
GUCGAUUGGUUUAGCGAUCCAUCUUUUGAAAGAUGCAUUGUCGACCUUUUCCGACAAUACAUUUACAAAUCCAAUGAAUGAUACAAAAUGGUUCCAUCUCCAUAUAUUGAACCUCGAACCAAAGUGCACCCAAAAAAAUGAACUUUCAAUAAAGACUUGAUAUAUCUAUUAGGAUGUUUAUCGAGAUAUCAAUAUUGCAUUGAGAAAAUUGACCUUGUUCAAGCUUUGAUUUGAUUUCAUUUGGUGUCAAAUAGAUUUGUUUAACCGUCCUAGUGGUGAUCUACAGAUCUAGGCCUGGCCCGUCUAAAGUUUUGCUCGAGUGCCCCUUAAGUCUCAUGUUCUAUGUCUAUGCACUGUCUACAUGAAAUUUACGUUGGCAUUUCAGUUUGUUCAAAUGUAGACUUGUCAUUGUUUGAUUAACUUUUGUUCUUUAUUCGUCUUUUUAAAUUUUCAUUGAUGAACAAUCUACUAACUGCAUUGGGAAAAGAAUUUUUAUCUACUUUCAGUUUUGUGCAUGAUUAUGCCGUUCAGUGAAGUGUCUCCUGUAAUAAUUUUAUCGCUUGACCAAUUAGAUUAGUGUCAUGUAUUACAUCAAAUGUCAUUAUUCAUUAUGACUUUCCAAAGAUUGGCG